CAUUAGCUAGUUGGUAAGGUAACGGCUUACCAAGGCGAUGAUGCAUAGCCGAGUUGAGAGACUGAUCGGCCACAAUGGAACUGAGACACGGUCCAUACUCCUACGGGAGGCAGCAGUAGGGAAUCUUCCACAAUGGGCGCAAGCCUGAUGGAGCAACACCGCGUGAGUGAAGAAGGGUUUCGGCUCGUAAAGCUCUGUUGUUGGAGAAGAACGUGCGUGAGAGUAACUGUUCACGCAGUGACGGUAUCCAACCAGAAAGUCACGGCUAACUACGUGCCAGCAGCCGCGGUAAUACGUAGGUGGCAAGCGUUAUCCGGAUUUAUUGGGCGUAAAGCGAGCGCAGGCGGUUGCUUAGGUCUGAUGUGAAAGCCUUCGGCUUAACCGAAGAAGUGCAUCGGAAACCGGGCGACUUGAGUGCAGAAGAGGACAGUGGAACUCCAUGUGUAGCGGUGGAAUGCGUAGAUAUAUGGAAGAACACCAGUGGCGAAGGCGGCUGUCUGGUCUGCAACUGACGCUGAGGCUCGAAAGCAUGGGUAGCGAACAGGAUUAGAUACCCUGGUAGUCCAUGCCGUAAACGAUGAGUGCUAGGUGUUGGAGGGUUUC
rnacentral:rRNA from 1 species